GAUGAACGCUGGCGGCGUGCCUAAUACAUGCAAGUCGAGCGAACUGAUUAGAAGCUUGCUUCUAUGACGUUAGCGGCGGACGGGUGAGUAACACGUGGGCAACCUACCUGUAAGACUGGGAUAACUUCGGGAAACCGAAGCUAAUACCGGAUAGGAUAUUCUCCUUCAUGGGAGACGAUUGAAAGAUGGUUUCGGCUAUCACUUACAUAUGGGCCGGCGGUGCAUUAGCUAGUUGGUGAGGUAACGGCUCACCAAGGCAACGAUGCAUAGCCGACCUGAGAGGGUGAUCGGCCACACUGGGACUGAGACACGGCCCAGACUCCGACGGGAGGCAGCAGUAGGGAAUCUUCCGCAAUGGACGAAAGUCUGACGGAGCAACGCCGCGUGAGUGAUGAAGGCUUUCGGGUCGUAAAACUCUGUUGUUAGGGAAGAACAAGUACGAGAGUAACUGCUCGUACCUUGACGGUACCUAACCAGAAAGCCACGGCUAACUACGUGCCAGCCGCCGCGGUAAUAC
rnacentral:rRNA from 1 species